rnacentral:snRNA from 1 species
AUGCUCACUUCGGCAGCACAUAUGCUAAAAUUGGAAUGAUACAGAGAAGAUUACCAUGGCCACUGCCCAAGGAUAACAUGAAAAUUCAUGAAGGAUUUCAUAUUACU